rnacentral:rRNA from 1 species
UUAAGAGCAUAUGGUGGAUGCCUUGGGAAUAGACGCCGAUGAAGGACGCGGUACACUGCGAUAAGUUUGGGCAAGAUGUGUACAAUCGUUAGAGCCCAAAAUCUCCGAAUGGAGAAAUCUGUUUAGGGUAAUGCCUAAACGAACUAGUGUAGUAACUAGUUAAUCGGGAACCUGCUGAAGUGAAACAUCUCAGUAAGCAGAGGAAAAGAGACAGACAUGCAAUUCCCCUAGUAGUGGCGAGCGAACGGGGAAUAGCCAAAAACUUCAGUAAGCCAUGUUGCUGGAUUGAAGAGUUCUCUCCGGAGAACUUAGAUUGAGAGCAACUGCCCUGUUGGGGGAUUAAGGCACUGUAAGGGUUGUCGGGAAAUUACGUUCUGGUCCAACAACCAGAGAAAAGGUGUAAAAAACUUACAUAAAGUAGAAUUAUUUGGAAAAAUAAGCCGUAGAGAGUGAAAGCCUCGUAUACGAAUUGUGUAAGUUACCUUUUGGUAAUUAUCCCAAGUACAACAAGAGCACCGAGAAGUCUUGUUGGAAUCGCCCGUGACUACGCGGGAAGGCUAAAUACGUCUAUUCACCGAUAGUGAACUAGUACCGUGAGGGAAAGGUGAAAAGAUCCCCAGGUAGGGAAAUGAAAGAGAUCCUGAAACCAUAUGCUUACAACAAGUGGAAGGGGUUUAAACCCUGACUACGUGCCUAUUGAAGAAUGAUCUGACGAGUCAGCUGUGUAAGGCAAGGUUAAGGUCGAUGGUGACUGUAGCCGUUAGUGAAAGCGAGGGUUAACUGCCCGUUUAGUCUUACGCACUGGACCCGAAACCUAGUGAGCUACCCAUGGUCAGGUUGAAUUUAGGAUAAAACCUAAAGGAGGACCGAACUCGUGACGGCUGCAAACGUCUGGGAUGAACUGUGGGUAGGGGUGAAAUGCCAAUCGAACUAGGUGAUAGCUGGUUCUCGCCGAAAUAGUUUUAGGGCUAGCCUCGAGUUAAAGUUUGCAGGAGGUAGAGCACUGAAUGUGUUUAGGGCCCUUGGGUACCUAACACAAACAAACUCCAAAUUCCUGUGUAACGUUCCUCGGGAGUCAGACUGUGGGAUCUAAGUUUCAUAGUCUAGAGGAGAAGAGUCCAGACCGUCGAAUAAGGCCCCCAAAUCAUAGCUAUAGUGUAAAAGAGGUGGAAUUACUAAUACAACCAGGAGGUUGGCUUAGAAGCAGCCAUCCUUUAAAGAAAGCGUAACAGCUCACUGGUCAAGUAGUUCUGCGCUGACAAUGUAUCGGGACUAAGCUAUGUGCCGAAGUCACGGAUUGCAAUUCGUUGCAAUGGUAGGCGAGCGUUCUAAUCGCGGUGAAGCAUAAGAAGAAAUUCAAUGUGGAGCGAUUAGAAGUGAGAAUGUCAGAAUUAGUAACAAAUGAUGUAAAGUGAAAAACUUUACCACCGAAAAUCCCAGGUUUCCUACGCCACGAUUUUCGUCGUAGGGUUAGUCGGCCCUUAGUGAGGUUUCUAACGGAGCCUUGCGAUGGACAUAUGGUUAAUAUUCCAUAACUAGGUGUAAAUGUGAUGGAGUAACGCAAUUUGGUAGCUUUAGCGGUUUUUGGCUAUAGCCGUUGGCAGUUUUAGAAAGCUGAUAUGUGGCAAAUCCAUAUAUCUUUGGUAAGUUUUCUUAACGAAACUACUGCCACUUUCGAGAGCUGUCAAAACUCUCUCAAGAGAGAAUUAAGGUGAACCAAGUUGCCAAGAAAAACUUCUAAACUUAGUUUACGCCUAUCCGUACCGCAAACCGACACUGGUGGAUGAGGAGAGAAUCCUAAGGUGAACGGGUGAAUAAUAGGUUAGGGAACUCGGCAAAAAAGCGGUCGUAACUUCGGGAUAAGACCUGCCUCAACUGUUUGAGGCUACAACAAAAGAAUCUCUGCUGACUGUUUAACAAAAACACAGCUCUCUGCUAAUUCUAAAAGAAGAAGUAUAGAGGGUGAUGCCUGGCCAGUGUCAGAAGGUCAAAGCAACCUGCGCAAGCAGUUUGCCCAAGCCCUGAUGAACGCCGGCGGUAACUAUAACCGUCCUAAGGUAGCGAAAUUCCUUGGCAUAUGAGUAAUGUCCCGCACGAAUGGCAUAACAAGUGGAGAACUGUCCCAACCAUUAACCCGGUGAAGUUCCAGAGGGAGUGAAGAUGCUCUCUACCCGUACCAAGACGAAAAGACCCUAUGCAGCUUUACUAUAGGUUGUCGUUGUUAUUUAACUUUGCUUGCUCAGGAUAGCUGGGAGACUGUGAAGCCUGGACUCUGGUUCAGGUGGAGUCAACCUUGAGAUACCAGCCAGGUAAUUUUAAAUAACUAAUUUGAGUGCAACUAACUCAAAGACAGCGGCUGCCGGUUAGUUUAACUGGGGCGGUUGCCUCCUAAAUAGUAACGGAGGCGUCUAAAGGUUGGCUUAGCUAGGAUGGAAAUCUAGCCUCAAAGUACAAAAGCACAAGCCAGCUUGACUGCAAGACCUACAAGUCGCGCAGAUGCGAAAGCAGAGUUUAGUGAACCGAUGCGUCCGAGUGGAAGGCGCAAAGAUCAUCGGAUAAAAGUUACGCUAGGGAUAACAGGCUGAUCUUGCCCAAGCGUCCACAGCGACGGCAGGGUUUGGCACCUCGAUGUCGGCUCGUCCCAUCCUGGGGGUGAAGUAGCUCCCAAGGGUUUGUCUGUUCGCCAAUUAAAGGGGCACGCGAGCUGGGUUCAAAACGUCGUGAGACAGUUUGGUCUUUAUCUGGUAUGGGCGUGCGAAAUUUGAGAGGGCAGGUCUCUAGUACGAGAGGACCGAGACCUAUGAGCCUCUGGUGUAUCGGCUGCACUGCCAAGUGCACUGUCGAGUAGCUAUGCUCAGUUUGGAUAACCGCUGAAAGCAUCUAAGUGGGAAGCCGUCCUCAAGAUUAAAUUUCGUAGUGAUUUUAUCACGACAGGCUCCUGGAAGACUACCAGGUAUAUAGGCUAUAGGUGUAAGACUAGUAAUAGUCUCAGCCAAGUAGUACUAAUCAGCCGAAUUUUAAUUU